rnacentral:rRNA from 1 species
CCCUUAGAUGUUCUGGGCCGCACGCGCGCUACACUGAUUCAUGCAACGAGUUUUGUCCUUGGCUGAAAGGCCUGGGUAAUCUUUGAACGUGAAUCGUGCUGGGGAUAGAUGAUUGCAAUUAUUCAUCUUCAACGAGGAAUUCCUAGUAAACGCAAGUCAUCAGCUUGCAUUGAUUACGUCCCUGCCCUUUGUACACACCGCCCGUCGCACCUACCGAUUGAAUGGUCCGGUGAAAUCUUCGGAUCUGAGAGAUGUUGGAUUAAUUUCUGACGCCUUUUGGAAAAGUCGCUUAAACCUUAUCAUUUAGAGGAAGGUGAAGCCGUAACA